rnacentral:tRNA from 1 species
CGCGGGGUGGAGCAGCCUGGUAGCUCGUCGGGCUGAUAACCCGAAGGUCGUCGGUUCAAAUCCGGCCCCCGCAACCA